rnacentral:rRNA from 1 species
UACGUAGGGUGCAAGCGUUGUCCGGAAUUAUUGGGCGUAAAGAGCUCGUAGGCGGCUUGUCGCGUCGCUGUGAAAACCUGGGGCUCAACCCCGGGCCUGCAGCCGAUACGGGCAAGCUAGAAUUCGGUAGGGGAGACUGGAAUUCCUGGUGUAGCGGUGAAAUGCGCAGAUAUCAGGAGGAACACCGGUGGCGAAGGCGGGUCUCUGGGCCGAUAUUGACGCUGAGGAGCGAAAGCGUGGGGAGCAGACAGG